GUUUGUUCUGUGACAUGCAGAAGCAGGGUGAGGAAUACGCCAGCUCAAUGGAUGUCAUGGAGGAAAACAUGUCACCAAAGAAGAUGCUUGAGAAAAUUGCAGAGCUGGAAUACAGUCAGAGUCUGCUGAGAGAUCAAAAUGCUGACAUGAGGAAAUUGCUGGAUGCCGCAGAUGAUGACAUGGCAGCGCUGGGCUCAGAGAAUAAGUCCCUCAGAAAAGUAGUUGAAACCAUGGAGAACUUUUUCCAAGACUUGCAACAGACUGAAGCAGAGCCUUGCAUAGCUCUGGCAGAUGACUUCGAGGCACAUAGAUGGAAUGUAGAAAAGAUCCAUGAAUUGGAGAAGGAAUCCACCGUAAUGAAGGAACAAUAUGAGAAACUAACUGCAAAGCUCAAAAGCCUCCAGAAAGAGAUAGACCAGGACAAGCUCACUUUGAGCAACCUGAAGUUUGAAAUUCAGGGCUUGAAGUUUCAAAGGGAAGAGGACCAGUCAAAACUGGAGCACAAGGAUGAGGUUAUUCAUCAGGCAAGUAUAGACUUGCAGUUGAAGCAAUUACAUGAAACUGUGGAAGAGUGCUUCAACAACAUAAAGGACCUCAGGCAGACAACGCAGGAGCUGAGUAAGCAGAUGGAGGACAGACGAGAUGAGGCCACAUUUGACCUGAUGAGAGAGAAGGAACGAGUGCCCGACCGCCCUCUGUCCUUUGCAGAGGAAAUUAAACUGCUGGCCUCAACAGCUGAAGUGAAUGACGGCAUGACAAACUCCACAAAUCUUGGAAAUUGUCUACAGGAGGAACCUGAGACUGAGGAGCUGCUGAAACCUCAUCUUCUCACAGUUAACCUUCAAUCUAAAAGCUGCCCAGGUACUUUGGAGGCAGCGAUCUGGAGAGUAGGUUUCUUUAUGCUGUGCAUCUUCAUUCUCAUGAUUUUAGCCAUUGUGGCUUCAGGAUGCUUUGUAGGAACAUCUGACUUCUCUUCCAUCACCACUUUGUGGGCUAGCGCCCACCUGAUGUUACAGCCCUACUUGAGUGUACAGUAUGGGGCCUUGCCUCCCAUUUGAGCUUAACUCUCUCUCUCUGGUCUGUUCUUGUAUUUCUGUUCUUGUAUUUUUUGUAAACAUGAGUUCAGAAAACAAACAAAUAAAACUUCAGCCUC
ensembl:lncRNA